GACGAACGCUGGCGGCGUGCUUAACACAUGCAAGUCGAACGGGAACCUUUAUUUCGGUAGAGGUGAGAGUGGCAAACGGGUGAGUAACACGUAGGCAACCUGCCGACAGGAUGGGGACAACAUUCCGAAAGGAAUGCUGAUACCGAAUGAAGUCACCGGAGGGCAUCCUCUGGUGAUGAAAGAUGGCCUCUGAAUAUGCUAUCGCCUGUCGAUGGGCCUGCGUCUGAUUAGCCAGUUGGCGGGGUAACGGCCCACCAAAGCGACGAUCAGUAGCCGGUCUGAGAGGAUGAACGGCCACAUUGGGACUGAGACACGGCCCAGACUCCUACGGGAGGCAGCAGUGGGGAAUCUUCCACAAUGGGCGAAAGCCUGAUGGAGCAACGCCGCGUGAGUGAAGAAGGUCUUCGGAUCGUAAAGCUCUGUUGCACGGGACGAAAACCGAGCUUGAAAACAUUGAGCUUGGGUGACG
rnacentral:rRNA from 1 species